rnacentral:rRNA from 1 species
GGCGGCGUGCCUAAUACAUGCAAGUAGAACGCUGAAGAGAGGAGCUUGCUCUUCUUGGAUGAGUUGCGAACGGGUGAGUAACGCGUAGGUAACCUGCCUUGUAGCGGGGGAUAACUAUUGGAAACGAUAGCUAAUACCGCAUAACAAUAGGUGACACAUGUCAUUUAUUUGAAAGGGGCAAUUGCUCCACUACAAGAUGGACCUGCGUUGUAUUAGCUAGUAGGUGAGGUAACGGCUCACCUAGGCGACGAUACAUAGCCGACCUGAGAGGGUGAUCGGCCACACUGGGACUGAGACACGGCCCAGACUCCUACGGGAGGCAGCAGUAGGGAAUCUUCGGCAAUGGGGGCAACCCUGACCGAGCAACGCCGCGUGAGUGAAGAAGGUUUUCGGAUCGUAAAGCUCUGUUGUAAGUCAAGAACGAGUGUGAGAGUGGAAAGUUCACACUGUGACGGUAGCUUACCAGAAAGGGACGGCUAACUACGUGCCAGCAGCCGCGGUAAUACGUAGGUCCCGAGCGUUGUCCGGAUUUAUUGGGCGUAAAGCGAGCGCAGGCGGUUUGAUAAGUCUGAAGUUAAAGGCUGUGGCUCAACCAUAGUUCGCUUUGGAAACUGUCAAACUUGAGUGCAGAAGGGGAGAGUGGAAUUCCAUGUGUAGCGGUGAAAUGCGUAGAUAUAUGGAGGAACACCGGUGGCGAAAGCGGCUCUCUGGUCUGUAACUGACGCUGAGGCUCGAAAGCGUGGGGAGCGAACAGGAUUAGAUACCCUGGUAGUCCACGCCGUAAACGAUGAGUGCUAGGUGUUGGAUCCUUUCCGGGAUUCAGUGCCGCAGCUAACGCAUUAAGCACUCCGCCUGGGGAGUACGACCGCAAGGUUGAAACUCAAAGGAAUUGACGGGGGCCCGCACAAGCGGUGGAGCAUGUGGUUUAAUUCGAAGCAACGCGAAGAACCUUACCAGGUCUUGACAUCCCGAUGCUAUUUCUAGAGAUAGAAAGUUACUUCGGUACAUCGGUGACAGGUGGUGCACGGUUGUCGUCAGCUCGUGUCGUGAGAUGUUGGGUUAAGUCCCGCAACGAGCGCAACCCCUACUGUUAGUUGCCAUCAUUCAGUUGGGCACUCUAGCGAGACUGCCGGUAAUAAACCGGAGGAAGGUGGGGAUGACGUCAAAUCAUCAUGCCCCUUAUGACCUGGGCUACACACGUGCUACAAUGGUUGGUACAACGAGUUGCGAGUCGGUGACGGCAAGCUAAUCUCUUAAAGCCAAUCUCAGUUCGGAUUGUAGGCUGCAACUCGCCUACAUGAAGUCGGAAUCGCUAGUAAUCGCGGAUCAGCACGCCGCGGUGAAUACGUUCCCGGGCCUUGCACACACCGCCCGUCAA